rnacentral:rRNA from 1 species
UACAGAGGGGGCAAGCGUUGUCCGGAAUUACUGGGCGUAAAGCGCGCGUAGGCGGCUUCGCAAGUCGGGUGUGAAAUCCCCAGGCUUAACCUGGGAACUGCAUUCGAGACUGCAUUGCUAGAGUAUGGGAGAGGGAAGUGGAAUUUCCGGUGUAGCGGUGAAAUGCGUAGAUAUCGGAAGGAACAUCAGUGGCGAAAGCGACUUCCUGGACCAAUACUGACGCUCAUGUGCGAAAGCGUGGGGAGCAAACAGG